AAAUGAAUAGACGGGGGCCCGCACAAGCGGAGGAACAUGUGGUUUAAUUCGAUGAUACGCGAGGAACCUUACCUGGGCUUAAAUGCAGACUGCAUGGAGCAGAGAUGAUCCUUCCCUUCGGGGCUGUUUGCAAGGUGCUGCAUGGUUGUCGUCAGCUCGUGCCGUGAGGUGUCGGGUUAAGUCCCAUAACGAGCGCAACCCUUACCGUUAGUUGCCAUCGGGUCAAGCCGGGAACUCUAGCGGGACUGCCACCGUAAGGUGAGAGGAAGGUGGGGAUGACGUCAAAUCAGCACGGCCCUUAUGUCCAGGGCUACACACGUGUUACAAUGGUCGGUACAGAGGGCAGCUACCUGGUGACAGGAUGCCAAUCCCGAAAGCCGAUCCCAGUUCGGAUUGGAGUCUGCAACCCGACUCCAUGAAGUUGGAUUCGCUAGUAAUCGCGCAUCAGCCAUGGCGCGGUGAAUACGUUCCCGGGCCUUGUACACACCGCCCGU
rnacentral:rRNA from 1 species